CCAGGCUUGAACUGCAGACGACAUCCUACGAAAGUAGGCUUCCGCAAGGACGUCUGUAGAGGUGCUGCAUGGCUGUCGUCAGCUCGUGUCGUGAGAUGUUGGGUUAAGUCCCGCAACGAGCGCAACCCUUGUCUUCUGUUGCCAUCAGGUUAAGCUGGGCACUCUGAAGAGACUGCCGGUGACAAACCGGAGGAAGGUGGGGAUGACGUCAAGUCAGCAUGGCCUUUAUGUCUGGGGCCACACACGUGCUACAAUGGCCGGUACAAACCGUCGCAAACUCGCAAGGGUGAGCUAAUCGGAUAAAACUGGUCUCAGUUCGGAUUGUCGGCUGCAACUCGCCGGCAUGAAGUUGGAAUCGCUAGUAAUCGCGGAUCUGCACGCCGCGGUGAAUACGUUCCC
rnacentral:rRNA from 1 species